rnacentral:misc_RNA from 1 species
GCCGUAGGGGAACCUGCGGCUGGAUCACCUCCUUUCUAGAGAAAAAGUAGGGGUAGAGCAUCCACACCUAUCGGUAAUCAGAUACAGAUGCGAAGAGAAUGUUGGGUUUGUAGCUCAGCUGGUUAGAGCACACGCUUGAUAAGCGUGGGGUCGGAGAUUCAAGUCCUCCCAGACCCACCAGUAGUCGUAGAGCGGAGCAGAUCCGCCCAGGUACUGGGGGCAUAGCUCAGUUGGUAGAGCACCUGCUUUGCAAGCAGGGGGUCAUCGGUUCGAUCCCGUUUGCCUCCACCACACAAUACUUUCCAAAUAAAAGUAUGCUAAAUAUACGAGUAAGCUGCUGCAUCUUGCAGUUUGCGCGGUAGUUUAUUUUUAUUUGCGAAGUCAAAACGCAUCGAUCUUUAACAAAUUGGCAAGCCGAAAUCAACAAACAAACGAAGUAGGGCUUAUCUUUGAGAUAAGUCAUACAGAAAUUUGGGUGAUGAUUGUAUCGACCGAAUCCUGAAACACAAAAGGCAGGAUUCGGACACAACAAGCAGUAAGCUUUAUCAAAGUAGAGGCCUUAAGCCCCAGCUGUAGUCAACGCAGCGCAGGCGAAGUCAAAAAGGCACUUCAAAUGAUAGAGUCAAGUGAAUAAGUGCAUCAGGUGGAUGCCUUGGCGAUGAUAGGCGACGAAGGACGUGUAAGCCUGCGAAAAGCAUCGGGGAGCUGGCAAUAGAGCUUUGAUCCGGUGAUGU